GACAAUGAGUGAGGCUGAUCACUUGAAUGCCAGGCUGUGCCUGACCCUCCCUGCCUCAGCUGCUGCUCCCUCCUCACUCUUUGCCGUGCCCGCCCAUGGCAUUCAAGGCUACUGUGAAGGUCAAGAAGUCAGGUGAGUCUGACCCACUCACUAAUUCCUAAAUUCAUCUUAUGAAUAUGUAUGGAGAACUUACCAAGCCCCAGCCGACCGGCCAGCCAAGAGCACACACAGUGAAGGAAACAGUUGGAGCCUGUUGCUGAUGAACUCUUUGGAGCAAGGGGGAGCACCAGCAAGAUGGAAGGAAAUACCCUAUCUCCGGGGUUAACAUGGUAGAAAAGGAGACUGGUUCCAUCCUCGUGAUCUUUGAGGAGACGCUGGAGAUGCUGGUGAGGAGGUAGCUGGCAGAGACCUGAGACAGUCCCUGUGGCAAAUACACACCAACACCUUUUGGGCUGACAUGAGAUAAAUCCAGGAGAUCAGAGGGCUACCGUGUGUUGCCAUGUGGCAGUUUGUGAGUGUGUGUGUGUGUGUGUGUGUGUGUGUGUGUGCAUGUGAGUGGGUGUGCUUGCUUACUGACCAGUUUCUUCUGUCUACCUUCUACCAUAUUGCAAGCUCCCAGAGCCUGGAGCCUCGCCUAUUCAAAUCACUCUCCAUCUCCAACAGGUAGCACAGUGGCCAGUACUUGGCCAAUGUUCCAUGCUGGCCAGUUUGGCUAAAGGAGGAGCUACAGAUCCCACCAUUUUAGAGUGGACGGCAACUGUCUGUUCUCAACCAUUGCCUUCCAUCAGCUGACAACACCAAGAGUGGGGUGGAUGUGCCUCAUGAGGGGCCCGGGAGCACCCCCACCCCGCCCCCAACCAUUCCCUAAGUAGCUCUAUUCCUGAUCCAGCUCAGCACGCAAAGGCUGACCUAUGACCUUCCUCUGCCCCCUGCCCCCCGCCUCCCCCUAGCGCUCUGCCCUCUGGGUGAGGUCAGUGAUGAAAGCCAGCAGCAGCCCAGGGGGUGGAGGAGAGAGACAGUGUCUGAUUGUUCCUGAGCUGCUGAGGACUGGGUCUCAGACAGCCCCUCCCUCCCUCCUCCUCCUCUCUCCUCCUCCUCUCCUUUCCCUUCCUCCUCCCCCCAUCCCCUCCCUGUCUUCUUCACUCCCUCUUUCUUCCCUUCUCUCUCCCUUACUCUUCCAAACUCCAGUGAGAAGUUGUUGCCUAGGCUGAUGCUUGGCACCCCACUGUCCACCCAGACGUUCUGAAUGAGCUAUCUGGCUUGGGGUCCACUUUGGAAAGAGCCUAGGGCAAACGCCAGAAGACCUUGGGCGCUCUUUCCAGCUGUGACCUCAAGAGUGACAUACAGGCUCGGAGUGCUGUGAGUGAGCACAGCCUCUCAGGGGUGCUCCAGCAAUGACAGGUGACACAGUCCCCUGCAGUGUCCUCUGGACACAACCUUGUGCCAUCCCCUUGGUCUCAGGGUCCAGCUGAGCUCCAGGGAGCCCACUGGCCUGAACUGGUACUCUAGGCUAAGGCUGUGCACUAGGCAGGAGAGGCCCAACUCCUCUUCGGGGCGUCUGGGGCUCUUGCUGGCUUUCAUGAUGGAUUGUGUUGACCUGAGCCGGUGACUCUCCCUGAGAAUCGGCAGCCACCUCUGGGCAUUGAUUUUUCUCUUUCACUUUUUUUUCUUUUGGCUUUUCAGGACAGGGUUUCUCUGUGUAGCCCUGUCUGUCCUGAAACUCUCUAUAGACCUGUCUGGCUUCGAACUCACAGAGCUCCACCUGCCUCUGCCUCCCAAGCUCUGGGAUUCAAGGCGUGUGCCACUAUGGUCUUUCAUUUCUUAAGGGAAGUCUCAAACAUGCAAAACUAAACACCAAACACAAGCCAGAUUCCACCAAUGCCGUCCCUUCUGUUUUCAGUCAGUCCUGUCAGCUCUGUGCCCCUCCCCUAUGUGGGCACUAAUAUUGUUUUGUUUUUAUUAAUUUUGUUAUAAAUAUGUAUAUGUCGGGGGGGCAGUAUGUGCACACAAGUGCGGAUGAAUCAGACCUCCUGGAACUGGGGUCACAGACCCUUACUUAACAGGUUCGGAGACCUAAACUCAAGUCCUUCACAAGAGCUGUGUGUGUGUGUGUGUGCAUGGAGGUCAGGAACAGCUUUAAGGAAUAGGUCUCUCCUUCCACUGGGGGAUCCAGAGCUCACAUUCUGCUUCCUAGGCUUGUGUGGCAAGCACUGCCAUUCACUAAGCACUGUUAUCUCGCCAGUUCCAAGUUUUUAAUUUUUAAAAAGAAACCAAUAAACAUUUUAAAAAGAACAUUGUAAAUCUUUUAUUAUAUUUAAUUGUGUUAUUAUAAGUGGAAUUUUUUUUAAUCAUCUUUUUUUAGAGCCAACUAGGCUGACACACCCUUGUAAUCCCCAUCCUGCGGAGGCUGAGGCACGAGGAUCAGGAAUUUGAAGUCAGUCAGGGCUUCUGAGUAAAACCUU
rnacentral:lncRNA from 1 species